UUCUCUUGAUGUUUAGCCAACGAGCAUACAACGUCCAAGGCCUCUAGUGGUAUGUACUCUGGUCUCUAGAUAUGCCAGCUUGAUGAAGAUUCAGGAAAUAUCAAUGAAGCUGAAAUUGCAGCAUUAACAAGCUCCACUAAUUUAGUAAGAAAUUGAUGAUAAUGGCAUUAAAAAGAUUAUCUUUUUCGAGUCUGAGAAAAAUAGGAAAUCCGAAGAGAAAGGAGAGCGGUAAAAAAAAUCAAGCCAAAGCUUGAUCAACACUUUCAAGCUAGAUACAUAUUUAUUUCUAUUUUCAAACAUGCAUGAGCAAAUUACCUUGGGUUAAUGAUAUAUAUGCAGACCUAAAAAUCCAAAGAAGAAUGAAAAUAGCUACCAUUAUAGGUCCUUUUCCAAGAGUUGGAUACAUUAGGAGGAAAAAUUGUGGGAGAAGGGAAAGAAAAACUUACUCUAGCCAAUGAAUACAGCAACACUGAAGAGAAAUUUGAGGCGAAACAGAGAUUCCAAACGCGAAGAGUCUCAGAGCAUCUGGAGACUGUCGAUGUAAACGAUGAAGAAAGAAAAAGUGGAUACACAGCACAUGGAAAGUUAAUUUACAGAUUACCCUAGAGUUAUUAUUAAAAUUCCAUAUUUUCCCUUGUUCAUCC
rnacentral:lncRNA from 1 species